GUUGGGUAGGGGAGCGUUCUGUAAGCCUGYGAAGGUGGCCUGUGAGGGUUGCUGGAGGUAUCAGAAGUGCGAAUGCUGACAUAAGUAACGAUAAAGCGGGUGAAAAGCCCGCUCGCCGGAAGACCAAGGGUUCCUGUCCAACGUUAAUCGGGGCAGGGUGAGUCGACCCCUAAGGCGAGGCCGAAAGGCGUAGUCGAUGGGAAACGGGUUAAUAUUCCCGUACUUGGUGUUACUGCGAAGGGGGGACGGAGAAGGCUAUGUUGGCCGGGCGACGGUUGUCCCGGUUUAAGCGUGUAGGUGUGUGUUCCAGGUAAAUCCGGUUCACUUUAACACUGAGGCGUGAUGACGAGGCACUACGGUGCUGAAGUAACAAAUGCCCUGCUUCCAGGAAAAGCCUCUAAGCAUCAGGUAACAUCAAAUCGUACCCCAAACCGACACAGGUGGUCAGGUAGAGAAUACCAAGGCGCUUGAGAGAACUCGGGUGAAGGAACUAGGCAAAAUGGUGCCGUAACUUCGGGAGAAGGCACGCUGACACGUAGGUGAAGUGAUUUACUCAYGGAGCUGAAGUCAGUCGAAGAUACCAGCUGGCUGCAACUGUUUAUUAAAAACACAGCACUGUGCAAACACGAAAGUGGACGUAUACGGUGUGACGCCUGCCCGGUGCCGGAAGGUUAAUUGAUGGGGUCAGCGCAAGCGAAGCUCCUGAUCGAAGCCCCGGUAAACGGCGGCCGUAACUAUAACGGUCCUAAGGUAGCGAAAUUCCUUGUCGGGUAAGUUCCGACCUGCACGAAUGGCGUAAUGAUGGCCAGGCUGUCUCCACCCGAGACUCAGUGAAAUUGAACUCGCUGUGAAGAUGCAGUGUACCCGCGGCAAGACGGAAAGACCCCGUGAACCUUUACUAUAGCUUGACACUGAACAUUGAGCCUUGAUGUGUAGGAUAGGUGGGAGGCUUUGAAGYGUGGACGCCAGUCUGCRUGGAGCCGACCUUGAAAUACCACCCUUUAAUGUUUGAUGUUCUAACGUGGACCCGUKAYCCGGGUUGCGGACAGUGUCUGGUGGGUAGUUUGACUGGGGCGGUCUCCUCCUAAAGAGUAACGGAGGAGCACGAAGGUUGGCUAAUCCUGGUCGGACAUCAGGAGGUUAGUGCAAUGGCAUAAGCCAGCUUGACUGCGAGCGUGACGGCGCGAGCAGGUGCGAAAGCAGGUCAUAGUGAUCCGGUGGUUCUGAAUGGAAGGGCCAUCGCUCAACGGAUAAAAGGUACUCCGGGGAUAACAGGCUGAUACCGCCCAAGAGUUCAUAUCGACGGCGGUGUUUGGCACCUCGAUGUCGGCUCAUCACAUCCUGGGGCUGAAGUAGGUCCCAAGGGUAUGGCUGUUCGCCAUUUAAAGUGGUACGCGAGCUGGGUUUAGAACGUCGUGAGACAGUUCGGUCCCUAUCUGCCGUGGGCGCUGGAGAACUGAGGGGGGCUGCUCCUAGUACGAGAGGACCGGAGUGGACGCAUCACUGGUGUUCGGGUUGUCAUGCCAAUGGCACUGCCCGGUAGCUAAAUGCGGAAGAGAUAAGUGCUGAAAGCAUCUAAGCACGAAACUUGCCCCGAGAUGAGUUCUCCCUGAGACUU
rnacentral:rRNA from 1 species